rnacentral:rRNA from 1 species
UAAUACAUAGGGGGCAAGCGUUAUCCGGAAUUAUUGGGCGUAAAGGGUGCGUAGGCGGUUAAAUAAGUUUAUGGUCUAAGUGCAAUGCUCAACAUUGUGAUGCUAUAAAAACUGUUUAGCUAGAGUAAGAUAGAGGCAAGUGGAAUUCCAUGUGUAGUGGUAAAAUGCGUAAAUAUAUGGAGGAACACCAGUAGCGAAGGCGGCUUGCUGGGUCUUUACUGACGCUGAGGCACGAAAGCGUGGGGAGCAAACAGGAUUAGAUACCCUGGUAGUCCACGCCGUAAACGAUGAGUACUAAACGUUGGGUAAAACCAGUGUUGAAGUUAACACAUUAAGUACUCCGCCUGAGUAGUACGUACGCAAGUAUG